GAUGAAAAUGCGAGGAUAUGUUAACAUUAAACGCAUCUAGAACUCGACGCGAGGAAACAUGAAUCAAAGUGUUAAGUUCCUUCUCGUACUUUUUUCUCUUAUUUUCGUGUCGGGGUACAUCGUGACUCCUGCUGAAGCGGAUCCAUCAAAAUGUGGCGUUUUCUAUAGAAAAAGAUGUCGCUUUCCGGAAAUAAGAGCCAUGUGUGGGGAUCUAUGUAACGGAAGAUAGAAAACAUUGAUUGCAUAAUGGACGACGUCUACAUCCUGAACCGAAGUAUUAGGUUUAUUUGUAUAUAAUUACUUACAAACAUGUAACUGAAUACCAACAGUAAAUAAAGUGUGAAAAUUA